ensembl:lncRNA
CCUGUUGAAUGUUUGCAACGUUCAAAUGUCAAUAUACUUCAUUCUCCUGUGGUUUCACAUAGUCUGAAUCCAGUAACCUUCUGGCCAUAUUGAAGACGACCUGUUUGGCAGGAUUUUUAAAGAGAGAUUUUCUCUUUGAUUUGCCCACAUCCUCCUGAUGCUGAAGUAUCCAAAAGAGAGGAGAGGAAAGUGAUUGCGGAAGCAAGAUAAACUUGGAACGUAGGAAGCUGCGGUUGAAUUAUUUUAUGGGUGUGAACACAGGCUCAGAGAAGCCCUGCUGUCACUGCAGCACGCUUAUUUUGAAGAUAAGUGUGAAUCAGCAUGCUGUUCUUAUAGGCAAAGAAGUAGCAGCAAGAAAUCUCAGACUAUGCAAGAGGAUCAUGACCUGGCAAUCAGAGGAUUUCUGCACUGAUCCAAGCCAGAAAAAAUGCUACUUUGCUUGGUGGACACUUCCCAUGGAUUUCUUACACAUCCACAUCCAAGGAGUGGAUGUAUCUGUCACGCACACCAAGCUGCUAACACCCGUGUGGUCUUGGUAGGAAAAUGCAAAGGAAAUCCAAAAGUGCUGGCCUUGACUCCCUUCCUCACUGUCCUUCCAUACCUGCUCUGCCUUGGCUUUGUGCCCUGCUCCCUCCCUAGCGCUCUUAUCUCCCACUGAACCUGAGAAACAAAUGCUUGUGGAAGCUAAGUCGUCCCCAGCUGUUCGCUCUGUUCCUGAGCUCCCUUCCUCCCUCUCAUUCCUUUUGGAUCUGUUUCUAAACUUUUUGGGGCAGCAACUACUUUUCUGCAUGCAACAUCAAUGGACACUGUUCUUGGCUGGCCUCAAGGCACAACUGGAAUAAAUGUGAAUAACAACAACAGUGACAAAAAG